AGGUUAGUCAUCCUCACUGAGGUUCCACUUCUCACACCAGCCAUUGGUUUACAGGUCAGGUGGUUGUGGUAUGUGUUGCUGUCUUAAUUUUUUUUUUUUUUUUUUUUAAGGAGAAUUGAAAAAUGAAAAGGAAGCUGUGAGCAAGUUUGGAUCUUUUUCCUCCACCUUGGAAAAUGGAAUCCAGCUGUCUCUGAGCUAUUAUGGACCUACAGGGGAGGAAUCAGAUGAAGAAACAGAUCUUGUCUUAGCAAGAAUUCUGAACAUCCCUUCUGUUCAUCUUCCGACGGUAAUUCCAGAAACAGUUUCUUCUGUUACACCAGCUCCAGGAAAAAAAGAUAAGUCUGACAGAGGAAAACCAGGAAAAGCUUCUGCCAAAGGAAAUCAUGGCAAAUUAGCCCCUUCAUCACCUGAUGAUCUGGUACAGAAAGAAGAACAAAAGAUGGAAACGCAAGAACCAGUUUCCCAAACACAAGAGAUGUCAAAUGCUCCUGCUUUUCCAAGUUUGAAUGCCUCCUGUCC
rnacentral:lncRNA from 1 species